rnacentral:rRNA from 1 species
UACGGGGGGGGCAAGCGUUGUUCGGAAUUACUGGGCGUAAAGGGCGCGUAGGCGGCCCUCUAAGUCGAACGUGAAAUCCCCGGGCUCAACCCGGGAACUGCGUCCGAUACUGGAGGGCUCGAAUCCGGGAGAGGGAUGUGGAAUUCCAGGUGUAGCGGUGAAAUGCGUAGAUAUCAAGAGGAACACCUGCGGCGAAGGCGGGUUGCUGGGCCGACACUGACGCUGAGGCGCGAAAGCUAGGGGAGCGAACGGG